CAUAGAUAUUAGGACGUUAUUUAUGUACAACCUCCCUCACACUACUGUGGUUGAUCUUCCUAUUCUAGAAAUCAACACAUGAAACUGACUUUUUCAGCAGGUUACUCUCUGCUGAACACGGUUUGAUGGUAUUUCUAGUCGACUACACUAUCGAUCAGUUCAUUAUUGAUUAUUUGAUCAUACACGAUACCAGGCAAGUACUUGUCAGUCGGCUACACACACGUACUCGGUAUAGACCAAACGAGCAUGACGAAGAGAGAAAACAUUUCAACGUAACGUUAUUUUGACAUAGGACGGAUUUCACGUAAACUACCAUCAUGGCACAAGAGUUCUUUAAUAGAUCCACUGUUCAACCAAAAAUAACUAUGGGCAAGAUGUUGUUAUUCGGAGACGAAGCAGUAGGGAAAACAUGUCUGUUGCUUAGAUUCACAGGUGAAACUUUCACAUUAAACCAUAUUCCAACGAUUGAAAUGGACUUCGUAAGUACAUUAUUACUUUACUU